rnacentral:rRNA from 1 species
GAUGAACGCUGGCGGCGUGCCUAAUACAUGCAAGUCGAGCGAACGGACGAGAAGCUUGCUUCUCUGAUGUUAGCGGCGGACGGGUGAGUAACACGUGGAUAACCUACCUAUAAGACUGGGAUAACUUCGGGAAACCGGAGCUAAUACCGGAUAAUAUUUUGAACCGCAUGGUUCAAAAGUGAAAGACGGUCUUGCUGUCACUUAUAGAUGGAUCCGCGCUGCAUUAGCUAGUUGGUAAGGUAACGGCUUACCAAGGCAACGAUGCAUAGCCGACCUGAGAGGGUGAUCGGCCACACUGGAACUGAGACACGGUCCAGACUCCUACGGGAGGCAGCAGUAGGGAAUCUUCCGCAAUGGGCGAAAGCCUGACGGAGCAACGCCGCGUGAGUGAUGAAGGUCUUCGGAUCGUAAAACUCUGUUAUUAGGGAAGAACAUAUAUGUAAGUAACUGUGCACAUCUUGACGGUACCUAAUCAGAAAGCCACGGCUAACUACGUGCCAGCAGCCGCGGUAAUACGUAGGUGGCAAGCGUUAUCCGGAAUUAUUGGGCGUAAAGCGCGCGUAGGCGGUUUUUUAAGUCUGAUGUGAAAGCCCACGGCUCAACCGUGGAGGGUCAUUGGAAACUGGAAAACUUGAGUGCAGAAGAGGAAAGUGGAAUUCCAUGUGUAGCGGUGAAAUGCGCAGAGAUAUGGAGGAACACCAGUGGCGAAGGCGACUUUCUGGUCUGUAACUGACGCUGAUGUGCGAAAGCGUGGGGAUCAAACAGGAUUAGAUACCCUGGUAGUCCACGCCGUAAACGAUGAGUGCUAAGUGUUAGGGGGUUUCCGCCCCUUAGUGCUGCAGCUAACGCAUUAAGCACUCCGCCUGGGGAGUACGACCGCAAGGUUGAAACUCAAAGGAAUUGGCGGGGACCCGCACAAGCGGUGGAGCAUGUGGUUUAAUUCGAAGCAACGCGAAGAACCUUACCAAAUCUUGACAUCCUUUGACAACUCUAGAGAUAGAGCUUUCCCCUUCGGGGGACAAAGUGACAGGUGGUGCAUGGUUGUCGUCAGCUCGUGUCGUGAGAUGUUGGGUUAAGUCCCGCAACGAGCGCAACCCUUAAGCUUAGUUGCCAUCAUUAAGUUGGGCACUCUAAGUUGACUGCCGGUGACAAACCGGAGGAAGGUGGGGAUGACGUCAAAUCAUCAUGCCCCUUAUGAUUUGGGCUACACACGUGCUACAAUGGACAAUACAAAGGGCAGCGAAACCGCGAGGUCAAGCAAAUCCCAUAAAGUUGUUCUCAGUUCGGAUUGUAGUCUGCAACUCGACUACAUGAAGCUGGAAUCGCUAGUAAUCGUAGAUCAGCAUGCUACGGUGAAUACGUUCCCGGGUCU